GUGCUCUUCCGAUCUGAUAGGUUUUGCUGCCAUCGAACACUCGCCUACACCUGGCGAGCCACAACACUCUCUUGCUAAGAUGGAUCAGGAGAUUGAAGACGUAGGGAGUUGUGUUACCCUGGGGGAAAAGAACGUGGAGAAUGAUGUUCUCACCUGACAGGAAAGGGACGCCGAGGAGGCGGCUACCCAGCCCCAGAGCUUCCUGGCAACAGGACAGUAAAAGAACCGGAUCAGUUCUUUUGCCCGACACCUGCAGUUGCCCGACUACUAUUUUGCCAGACAACUUCAGUUGCUCCGACAAUUCAUUUGCCCGAAAAGUACAGUCUAUUGCAAAAAGGUUUUCACUUAGGUCAAAGUUGUUCGGCUUCCUUAC
rnacentral:lncRNA from 1 species